AGUAACGUUAAAUUUUUUUUGAAAAUUUUGGUAAAAGUUACGAUUAAAAUGUUUUUAAUAUUGAAUCCACUUAUAGAGUAUAACAAUAUGUUAUAUUUUUUUGCAUGUAUUCUUGUAGAUCAACAGUUUUUUACAGAAUAAACGUUUUUUGUGAUUAUUGAUUUGGUCGUUUGAGUAGAUGUGUGAUAAUAGUUGGUAUGGUCCGUGUAUGAGCUAAUUCGGUAUGGUCUGUGUGAGUAAGUUCCGUGAUUUUCCAGCGAAGCCUAUCUAUAUUGGGUAUGUUAUGCCACAGGUUAGUUGGAGAAGUCGUCCUUGAAGAAGUAACACCAUGAAGAAGUGAAGAGGGAAACCGUGGCGAGGCCCCUCCACUUGUUCAUGAAGAAGUGAAGAGGGAAACCGUGGCGAGGCCCCUCCACUUAUUAAUGAAGAAGUAGACCCCUUGUUUUUUCAAGCAGCCAGGAGAAAAGCUAUCACUUUUUGAUUUGAAGAUAGCGUACUCUGUCGACACUGUUUUGAAAAUAACCCUUGAUAUAUGGAUUUGUUCAUGUUAGAAGUGAAGAAAAAGUAACCCCAUGAAGAAGUGAAGAGGGAAACUGUGGCGAGGCCCCUCCACUUAUUAAUAAAAUGAUGUGUAUGUUUUCUUGUAUCUGGCAUAUCACAAGUGUAAUACUCGUGAUGAGGAAGUGUUUUACAGUUGUCUGGGAAUACUCCCAUUAAUAGUCGGAGCAAGAACGGUUUGAUUUGUGUAAGCUCAUAUAAGAACCAAAUUUCAAUAUUUAUUUGUGUUUGUAAGCCCAUGUAUAUGGAGUAUGACUAAGAACCAAGUUUCAAUAUUAUUUGUGUUUGUAAGCCCAUGUAUAUGGAGUAUGACUAGAAGUCUUUGAGUCUUUUGUUCCCUGCUUGUUUGUCUAUCCCUGUUUAGUCUGGAAAUUUUAGAGUCUGUUAUCCCGUAAUGUCUGUUAGCCCAUGUCCCUGAUGGAGUUUGAUUUUUUUUGGCGAAUAGUUCGUUGACCUCUCUUGUGUUUGUUUAUUGAAAGUAGGCCAAGAGCAGAAGCUGUGACAAGGCUGGUGAGCUUAGGAUCUGGCCGCGUUGAGUACAGGUGAAGCUUGCUUUCGGUGGAUAAAUGGAAGUGGUCGUUCGUCGGAACUGUCAUUCUUUCCAAUGUCCCUUAGGUCUUCCCCUUGUGUUUGCUUUCAUCCCUGUUUUGAAAAAGUAGUCUAACCCCAGUUUGGAAGAGUGAAAUCUACUCAUGUUUUGGAAAAGUAAGAUCAUAUCCCCGGUUUUGAAAAAUAAAGAAUAUCCCAGUUUGUGAUUUGAAAAUGAGAAAGUUGUCUUGUGAACUUUCAUGAAAGGCUUUUAUGUCCUAGGUAGGACUGUUGAUUGAAAACGUAAUGAUGUAGUAUUUCCUAUGUCAUGUGUUACGUUCAUUUUUUUUGGUCUUGAUUAAAUAGUUUGAUAUCCCGUUUGAAUCCAGUAUACUAGUUUUUUUUGGUCUUUAAUGUUGUCACACGCGUCCACCCCCCUUUGUUGGUUUUGUUUGAAUGAGUUGUUGAGAUAAGUUAUUUGUGACAUUUUAUCUCAACGAGGUAUUUAGACUGGAUUGUCUAAAUCCUCCUUUUGCCGAACCGUUGCCGAUAAAAAUUCCGUGAAACUCGCUAGGUGUUUAGAGUUUAAGCAGAUGCCUAUCGCUGAGCCAAGAGCUCAGAAAGAUUUUUUAGUUUGUGAAAACCAAUCCUAGUUAGGCAACGAGGUGAUGAGGCUGUGUCUGCCCUGCUAUAUGGUAUAUAUUAUAUGGUAUAUAUAGUAUAUAUAUCACUUGUGUUACUACAGUGGAUGUCAGCGAGGUCCACAUAGGGCACAAGAUUAUUUCUUUCCCAAGACACAGAAACUCUUGUCACCUACAGUUCUCAGUAGAGUCUUUAAACAUUUAAGUCUACUCGACUUUAAAGAGUCUGGCGAUUGAUGGCACGCUAGCCCACUCCCUAAUGAUGUUUUGUUUUUGUUUAAUCCCCACUAGCCAUUAUUUAAAUAUUUUAGUAUUGUUUAUCCUGUCACACCCAAGAAGUCAAUGUUGGAUUUUUGUAGUUAUCGAAAACUGAAUUGGUAAUCCAGUUUCCUCUCUUCCGAGGAGGCUAUUGUAGCAGAUGGAUUUCUACUACAAUAUUUUAUAAAAAAUAUCCAUUAAUUUUAAUCCUAUCCCAAGAAAAAUAUCAAUUUUUCUAAUUUAUUUUGUCAGUUUAAAUAUCUUUAAAAUUUCCUAAGCCGCUCCUGUUCGAAAUAUUUCAGAAUAUUUUCGCAACAAAGUAAAAUCAUAGGAAAGUUCCUAUUUAUUUGAGUAGCAUUUACCAACUACGUAGAUAGUUAUUGUGAAAUCAUUCAUUAUUCGAGAAUGAAUCCUCUAAAAGGUUUGGUGUUUUUCCUUUAAGUUUUGAGCGCUAAAAAUCCCAUGUUAUUAUUGGUCUGCAUUUUGAAAGAUCCUUGAGUUGUAGUUGACGAUUGGUCAAUAGUUUUGGCCGAACGAUCGAGAAGAAAUGCAUCGUUGGGACGCGAGAGAGACGUGACGAUGUAAAGCUAGUUCCAAAAAAACGUCUGAAGAGUAAACAUCUUUUUGUGUGGAACUCAACCAACAGACUCUUAGAAAGUCGCACUUUGCCGGCAAAAUGGUUUUAUUUUUAUGGUAAAAGAAGUGAAAGACUGGCAGUUUGCCCAGUAAAUGUCAACGAAUAUAAUGACAAUAGUUUCACGGCAUUUUAAUGGAUAUAUUAUUGUGAAAUAGUUCUAUUGUUAUGCAGUUUGGUUUGCCGGUGGUAAUAAAAAAGAAGUGCGUGGUUUCCUGGUUCCUGUCCUUUAUGUAGCUGUUGCUAUUUUUAUGAUGUUUUGGAUUUGUUCAUGUUCCAGUAAGAAAUGCCCAGAUGAUAUUAUUUGGUAUCGAUUUUA